GUGAGGAAUAUUGCGCAAUGGAGGCAACUCUGACGCAGCCAUGCCGCGUGCAGGAAGAAGGCGCUACGCGUUGUAAACUGCUUUUAACCGGGAAGAAACCCCAGGACGUGUCCUGGGUUGACGGUACCGGAGGAAUAAGCACCGGCUAACUUCGUGCCAGCAGCCGCGGUAAUACGAAGGGUGCAAGCGUUAUCCGGAUUCAUUGGGUUUAAAGGGUGCGUAGGCGGAGCGUUAAGUCAGUGGUGAAAUCCUGCAGCUUAAGUGUAGACUUGCCAUUGAUACUGGCGCUCUUGAGUGCGGUUGAAGUGGGCGGAAUGUGCCGUGUAGCGGUGAAAUGCUUAGAUAUGGCACAGAACACCAAUGGCGAAGGCAGCUCACUAAGGCGAUACUGACGCUGAGGCACGAAAGCGUGGGGAUCGAACAGGAUUAGAUACCCCUGUAGUCC
rnacentral:rRNA from 1 species